rnacentral:rRNA from 1 species
UGGUGGAGUGAUUUGUCUGGUUAAUUCCGAUAACGAACGAGACCUUCCUAUGCUAAAUAGUGACGCGAACCCUUCGGGCGGCGCGUACGGACCAUGUCUGCGCCACGCGGCGACCCUCGUAUCGCGCUGCGGCCCUCGCGGGUCGCAGUUGUGUGCGGUGGCGCGUCGCGUGUGCGUGGCACGGCAUCGGCGUGCCGCUUGUUCGCGGUAGCACUUCUUAGAGAGACUGUUGACGUUGCAGUCAGACGAAAAUAGGCAAUAACA